AUUAUCUUGGCAGAUAAGUGCAUUAAAUUUAGAAUUUAAUUAUAAAAUUGAAAUUAAUUUUAGAUAAUA
rnacentral:tRNA from 1 species